rnacentral:rRNA from 1 species
CGGGAAUCUUCCGCAAUGGACGAAAGUCUGACGGAGCAACGCCGCGUGAGUGAUGAAGGUUUUCGGAUCGUAAAGCUCUGUUGUUAGGGAAGAACAAGUACCGUUCGAAUAGGGCGGUACCUUGACGGUACCUAACCAGAAAGCCACGGCUAACUACGUGCCAGCAGCCGCGGUAAUACGUAGGUGGCAAGCGUUGUCCGGAAUUAUUGGGCGUAAAGGGCUCGCAGGCGGUUUCUUAAGUCUGAUGUGAAAGCCCCCGGCUCAACCGGGGAGGGUCAUUGGAAACUGGGGAACUUGAGUGCAGAAGAGGAGAGUGGAAUUCCACGUGUAGCGGUGAAAUGCGUAGAGAUGUGGAGGAACACCAGUGGCGAAGGCGACUCUCUGGUCUGUAACUGACGCUGAGGAGCGAAAGCGUGGGGAGCGAAC